rnacentral:rRNA from 1 species
UACGGAAGGCAGCAGUGGGGAAUAUUGCACAAUGGGCGCAAGCCUGAUGCAGCCAUGCCGCGUGUAUGAAAAAGGCCUUCGGGUUGUAAAGUACUUUCAGUCGUGAGGAAGGUGUUAAGGUUAAUAACCUUAGCAAUUGACGUUAGCGACAGAAGAAGCACCGGCUAACUCCGUGCCAGCAGCCGCGGUAAUACGGAGGGUGCGAGCGUUAAUCGGAAUUACUGGGCGUAAAGGGCACGCAGGCGGUUAAUUAAGUUGGAUGUGAAAUCCCCGGGCUUAACCUGGGAAUGGCAUUCAAGACUGGUUAGCUAGAGUCUUGUAGAGGGGGUAGAAUUCCAUGUGUAGCGGUGAAAUGCGUAGAGAUGUGGAGGAAUACCGGUGGCGAAGGCGGCCCCUGGAUAAAGACUGACGCUCAUGUGCGAAAGCGUGGGGAGCGAAACAGGGAUUAGAU